CGAAAUUAUUUUCCAAAGCAAAGAAAAUUCGUGAAAAUUCCACGAGACAUGCAACAUAAUUUGAAGAGUAUUCGAUUCUAUUGCAGGUGACGACCAUUUCACUCAUCUUGGCCACUUUGAGGAGCGCGAGCAAGUGCGAAAGAGAUAGAGAUAGGCCGUGGAGAAAGCUUUGUGCGUUAAUUGCUUGAAAAUGAAAACAUGAAAUUAAAUGAAAACAUUGUUGGACACAAGUGUCUUGCGUACAUUACUCAUACGCUUCAGAAAACCGACAACCACCGCAUGCAGGUUUCUGUGUGCCUCUGUGGGCAUAUGUGUGUGUGUGUUGGUGUGUGUGUGUGUCUGUGGAUGUACGCAUGUCGCAG
rnacentral:sRNA from 1 species